UACGUAGGGACCAAGCGUUGUUCGGAUUUACUGGGCGUAAAGGGCGCGUAGGUGGCCUUCUAAGUCGAACGUGAAAUCCCUGGGCUCAACCCAGGAACUGCGUCCGAUACUGGAAGGCUUGAAUCCGGGAGAGGGAUGCGGAAUUCCAGGUGUAGCGGUGAAAUGCGUAGAUAUCUGGAGGAAUACCGGUGGCGAAGGCGGCAUCCUGGACCGGCAUUGACGCUGAGGAGCGAAAGCUAGGGGAGCAAACGGG
rnacentral:rRNA from 1 species